UCACAGACUGUAAAUGGUUAUAGUUUCAGUUUCUUUUCUUAGCUGAGAAAUUCUUUUUCUCUUUUCCUUAGCUGUCGCAAUAAAUCACACCUGGGUGACCUAUAAUAAAUAUUUAUUAUUUAUAUUAUUUAUAAAUAUUUUUUCUGACUUCUGAAUUCUUCUUCUUUUAGAUGUUAAGGAUUUUGCUGUUGUUAUUGAUUCUAGGCAAGCUCGGAGUCUAUAUUUGUGGUCAGAGCAUACCUUUUUCACCUAGGUUGUGUUUCUUUUCCAGGGUUUUGCUUGAGGAAUUUUAAAAAGAAACAUUUUACUCAGCUGAUGAGUGGCCUGUUCAAACUUAGUUUUUCAUUAGUGCGUUAUGUUUUUAUUUCCCGUUGAAUGUUGCAACUGGAGUUACAUGGAAGUUCAUCCAAGAUUCUAUCUGUCUUCUACUGGACGAUUAAGCUCCUAAUAAACUCAGGUUUCUUCAGCCAAAGAAGCCCUGACCAUCACAUACGGGUCAAGAGUCUUUCCAAACCUAGUGACCUCAGAUAG
rnacentral:lncRNA from 1 species